rnacentral:lncRNA from 1 species
CGGACGGGACAGAUUGGAUCGCACCUGUCACAGCCACGCUCUGGAAUAGCGAGGGCCCAGCGUCCCCAGGCCCAGGGUGAGGAGAAUCCCUGCCACACUGUGUCUGGAAUUGGUGGGUUCUUGGUCUCACUGACUUCAAGAAUGAAGCCGCGGACCCUCACGAACCCUCUGUGGAAGCGGUGGUCUGACACAAGCAUUUCUGGAUGACGCUGAACCUGCUUACAACUCCCUGCUGCUGUCAGGCAGAACAUUCUCCAAACCGCAUGAAUUUGGAAGUCUGGACACUUCAGGCAUCAUCAGGUUUAUGGUUUUGUCAUAACCCUGCUGAAAGUCCUUUACCAUCUCCAGGCCUCCAUUUAUUUUCUAUAAAAUAAGGAGUUUGGAAUGGCACUGUGUUGAUAUUCUCCAGUUUUGUGAAACAUCGUACUCAACAAUCGCGAGCAGGCAUUUUACAGACCUUGCUUUCCUAGACCUGCUCAAGUAGAACAUUCAGGUCAGUGCUAAGAGUUAAUAUGCUGCCUCCGUCUGACCUCCACAUUAUGAAAAAAAAUAUAAAGGAAAGAGCAAAAGGUAGAGCAAGUAGGUUUCGGGCUUGGUGGAGUAGCUCUGAGUGCUGCCCUGUCCUUGGCUGUGUGUGCCAGGUGAAGCGUCUGUGAAGGUCCCCAGUGGGGUGUGCAGAGCACAAGGGCUGCUUCUGAAUGCAGGCACGUGAUCUAAGGACACUGUGCAUCACCAGUGUGACCCCAGGAGUAGUUUCAGAGCUUUGAUAAGACCUAGGCCAGGCUCAGUGGCUCACGCCUGUCAUCUCAGCACUUUGGGAGGCCAAGGUGGGUGGAUCAGCUGAGGUCAGGAGUUCAAGACCAGCCUGACCAAUAUGGUGAAAUCCUGUCCCUACUAAAAGUACAAAAAUUAGUUGGGUGUGGGGGCGAGCGCCUGUAAUCCCAGCUAC